GCUUAUUCUCAGGGCGGGGUGAAAGUCCCCACCGGCGGUAAACCACGGAAUAUAGGAAGGAUCAUCAUCCCUUCCAUGUGGAAGCCCGCGAGCGCUCAAUCCUUCGGGGUUAGAGGUCAGCAGAUCCGGUGUAAUUCCGGGGCCGACGGUUAAAGUCCGGAUGGGAGAGAGUAACG
rfam:Rahnella aquatilis CIP 78.65 = ATCC 33071, complete genome.